rnacentral:rRNA from 1 species
UUUCCGGUUGAUCCUGCCGGAGGCCUUUGCUAGUAACACGUGGCCAAGCUACCCUGCAGAGGGGGACAGCGUCGGGAAACUGACGGGAAUCCCCCAUACCGGUCUCACGCUGGAAUGCCGAGACCGACAAACGCUCCGGCGCUGCAGGAUGCGGCUGCGGCCGAUUAGGUAGUCGGUGGGGUAACGGCCCACCGAGCCGAUAAUUGGUACGGGGUGUGAGAGCACGAGCCCGGAGACGGAAUCUGAGACAAGAUUCCGGGCCCUACGGGGCGCAGCAGGCGCGAAACCUUUACACUGCACGAAGGUGCGAUAAGGGGACUCCGAGUGCGAGGGCAUAUCGUCCUCGCUAUUGUGUACCGUAGGGUGGUACACGACCAAGAGCUGGGCAAGACCGGUGCCAGCCGCCGCGGUAAUACCGGCAGCUCGAGUGAUGGCCGAUUUUAUUGGGCCUAAAGCGUCCGUAGCUGGCCCUGCAAGUCCGUCGGGAAAUCCACUCGCCUAACGAGUGGGCGUCCGGCGGAAACUAUAGGGCUUGGGACCGGAAGACUUGAGGGGUACGUCUGGGGUAGGAGUGAAAUCCUGUAAUCCUGAACGGACCGCCGAUGGCGAAAGCACCUCAAGACGACGGAUCCGACAGUGAGGGACGAAAGCUAGGGUCUCGAACCGGAUUAGAUACCCGGGUAGUCCUAGCCGUAAACGAUGUUCGCUAGAUGUGGCACAGGCUACGUGCCUGUGCUGUGUCGUAGGGAAUCCCAAAAGCCCACCGCCUGUGAAGUCAUCCGCAAGUAUGAAACUUAUUGGAAUUGGCGGGGGAGCACUACAACCGGAGGAGCCUGCGGUUUAAUUGGAUUCUCGCCGGA